AAGUAUAAUUUAUACAUAUCAUAAUACAUAAGUUGCUUCUUUAUAACAAGACAAUUGAUAAAUUCAAAUUGCAUUCAUCGAGCUUCGAGGAUUUAAAUUAAUGUGUAACAAAUAUCAUUCGAUACAUCAUACAUUCAACGGUAUAUUUAGUCACAUAUUUUUUAAUAUUUUUACAAAUUUAUGAAAUCAAUUAUUUCGUAUACAGCAACUUAACAGAAAUUAUUGAAUCGAAAAAAUUAUUGAAGACGAAAUUAAUCGAUAAGCAAUCUAAUAGAAGUUAUCGAAUCCAAAACGAAAUCGUAAUUGAAUAAAAUUGAACAUCAGCAAUAGUGUAUUUCUCUGGAUUCUUUCACCUGAUGUAUUUCUCUGAAUUCUUUCAUAUAUUUCAUUAGAUCUAUUAUUCUUUCUUUUUUUUUUACCUCUAAUAAAUACGUCUUCUUUUUAAUUAUUUUAUUUAUUAUUUUUUAUUCUUUAUUUUUUUCUUCUUUAUAUUGCUUAAAAUUUUUAAUUUAUUUCGAAUUUUCUUAUUUUUCUAUAUAGUAUAUUUUAUCGAUUUCUCUAUUUCUUUUUUUAUCUGUGAUAAAUAUAUUUUUCAUUUUGUUCAUUAUUUUUUAUUCCUCGCUUUUUUCUUAUUUAUUGACUACAAUUUUUUUAUUUCUUGUUCAAAAUUGUAAUCACGAUAAAUUUUUUCUCUUUUCAUGUUUCAAUUUUCUUAUUACGAUUUUCUUAGAACGAAAUUUUCGCGGCAAUUUUAAAAUAAACCCAUCCGUUCCAUCUUAUAAUUCGUUCACGUUACUCUCGAGAAGUAAGAACUUGAAUUGUUGAAUUGUUUCAAAAUAGUAUUCAACUAGUAUUUCGUGCUAAAGCAUAAAUUAAAUCGGAUCGUACGAAACACGAACCUUCUUCCUUCGAACAGUGGUAAGAAAAGAAAAGUGGAAUGUAAAUUAAUUUGAAAUCUCGGGAGAAGUUGGUAUCCUAAUAUUUCUAUGUAAACUUGCCACAAUAAAAUUUAAAUGAAACCAAGUUUUCGGCGCCACGAUUUGAAAGAAGAAUAGAAUAUUAUGUACUUUUUGGCCCUGUGUCUAUAGAAAUAACUCUCAAGAAGGUUGCUCGUUCGUGGGAAACACGGAAAUGAAAAUGGAUUGUAACGAAAAAAUUAAACGAUAAAGAACAAUACUAUUAUUUUUUAAUCUUUCCGUGGAUUCUCUUCUCUUAAAAUGGUAAAGAGCAGAAGAAGAAAAAAGAAUUCGAAAGAACAAUGUGGAACUUGUUACAAGUUUUAUGAGCUUUUAUUUUAUAUUUGCGGUGGAGAAGUUUAGAAUUUGAAGAAAUUCCUGAGAAAAAAUGUUAAUCAUGAUAAAUUAUUUUUCGUAAAUUGGUACGUGUGAAAUGUCAAUUCUGGAAUUCGAAAAAUGCAAAUUUUAACAAGUUCGAAAUAAUCUUAAAUGAAAGAAUAAAUUAUAAUUUCCUCAAAUUGGUACAUCAGAUACAUCUAAUAAAUUGAUAUUUAAUUGAACAUUGUACAUAUUUUAUUAGUUGAUAUACAAUUAAAAAUGAUUUGCCAAAUGAAAUUUCUUUAAUUUGAGAAAUUCUUCUUUACUUUCAAAACAAGUAAUUGUAAGAAACACAGGAGAGACUUGUUCAAAGAGUUUAUUCUUGAAGAUACAAGUAGCAUUGUAUCGUUUAAUGACAAGAAACAGAGAGAAGAAUGAAUAUUUGUAGCGCGAUAAAGAGAGAAAGACAAAGGAAAAAAUCAUAAAAGAAGGGAAGAAAAUACCGCGCGAAUCUUCAUUUUCCUCUUUUCAUUAAUACGAAAAAAUCUCUUGAUCUGUGUGCCACGAUUCGAGAGUAAAGGGAAAAAAGAAAAAGGAAAAAAAGAAAAACGAAAAACGGAAUAGACGAAGAGGCGAGAAAUCGAUUUGACUUUUCCGGCACAUCUGUUUUCGGAAUUUGCAUACGAAUUCUUGGCCAAAGAUUUAAAAGAAACAGGCAUUCUCCGCAAAAGAAGAAAGUGUGGAGUUCGAGCUCCCUGGCCACACGUGUCAAUUGAAUGUUUUCCAGUCUGAGAAUUACAAACGUGGAAGAUGGAAACUCGAAAAGAGAGUUCAAUAUGUAUAUUUAUCUAUCAUCGAUGAAAAUCGAUAGAGGAAUAUGCUCGAAGAGUUGAAGAAGAAGAGGGAAAAACUGAGUGUGAUUCUCUCUUUUUAUGGUAUUGAACAGAGAACGUAAAAUUUCUAUGCAAAUUCUUAUUCUGGUAUUUACGAGAGAAAGACAUUGCGGCCGGAAAUAAAAAAAAGAAAAAAACAGUUCGAGAUCUGUUUUAGCGCCCGCGUGCCAGUGGAAAAUACGAAGAUAUAGUGGGAAAACCUGAAAAUUGCGUGAAACGACGAAAAAGUGUGACGAGAUUUAUGCAAUUAAAAAUUAGAGAUGCGAGAGAAGAAACGUGAGAGAAUUUUUAGAUAAAAUUUGAAUACGAAACUUUUUAAUGUGAUGAAUGAACAGAAGGAAUGAAAUAGUAAAGUUACUAGUCGCUGAGAAAAAUUAUUUGCGCGCUAUCUGAAAUAUUGGUAUAAGUUAAAAUAAAUUGUUGAAUGAACUAUACGAAAAUGAACUAUACGUAUAAAAUUAGGAAGAAUUAAGAAGGAGAAAUUAAAAUUUAAAAAUGAGAGGUAUCAUGAGAAUUCUUUUAAAAUGCAUAUUUGAAGAUGAAUGAUGAAUGAAAAUUUCGUAUGAAUUAGAAAUUCAGAAAUAAACGAAAAUUGGAAGAAACAAGAAUAAUAAUGGAAAGAAUAAGAAUGGAAGAUAAAAUUUAUAUUUUAAUCAAUUUAUCGAGGAAUAAGUGAAACGUUGAAAAAUUUAUUUAUUCCCUGAAUUUUUAUAAGAAACAAAAAAGUACAAAGUAAAAACAGUCGAAGAUAUACAAAAUAUGAAAUGGUAAAUACAAACAUUUCAGAAACACGCAACAUUUUGUAAUAACAAUAUGCAUUUUCGUUUCGUAUUGAAAUUUUAUUACCAAAAUUAAAAUAUAAAUUAAAAAAUCUCAUAGAAAUAUAAGAUUAUUUAUAUUUUGAAAUAAUUCAUUAAAUCUUUGCAUGUACAAUUAAAUAAAUCCAUUUUCCAUUGACAUUUUGUUUUUCACAAUAUUAAAAUCGAUCAUCAAAUU